UCGAAGAGGCCAUCGAGACAGUUUGUGGAGACUGUGAGCGCCGAGUACGGCACGAAAAGUCAUUUGCAGUCACUGCCCAUAUUUGCCGUCGUCGCGAGUGGAUUCUUUUGACGGGUGCGCGCAGUAUCAGCGACAGUCCAUUGUCGGCAGGUUGAAGCGACGUUCGAUUCCGACACGAUUGCCUUGGGGAAGUAGGCAGCUGGUGGCAACAACAUCGGCAUCGACCAGAACCGCCGAGAAACGACGAGCGCUCACGCUGUGACCUCGGACGCCAUCUUGUACAUCAGUCUGCGGGAUUCAUCGUGCACAUCAGACACGUGAGGCAACUUGGGACACGUGAACCACUGCGGGAUUCGGGACUCGAUAUUCACUGCGGCCACAAGUCGGACGGAGAAGAAAAGUCGUGAUUCGAUACUAAAAGCGCAUCUGCUCCUACAUACAGUCGAUCGAGUGGGCCACGGCGGCUGGAUACGGCCAGCCUCGGAAGACAAAAGAUAAAAGCCUUCAAUGCGAAGUAAGUUGCCCACUGCGUACACUGCCGACAGAUGGAGGCUAACGAGU